UGCCUCUGGCAGUGAACAGAAGAAAGCAGCCAAGGGUUCACUCCCCCGAGCCAGCACGCAAGGGUGUCCGUGCAGCUGGACUUUCAGGUGUGUCACGCUGGGGCUGAGGCCUCCGGAGGGACUCCUAGAAGGGAGGCGUGCGUGUAAAGCGCCAUCCCUCAGCAGCCCACGAUCUCGGACGGUUUGCCACUGUGGCCAGUGUUUUAUUGAUGCUUCUGAGGCCAUAGAGCACGCACGGGGAAGUUCUGAGCACACGGAGGACAAGCCAGGGCGGUGCUGUGUGGCCGCAGUCAACCCUAAGUAGGGGUCCGAGUGGGGGACGGUCGCUAACACCUCGAUUCCUCAUGUCUGUGUUUCUGCAGCUUGGAGCUUGGAGAGUGUGUGUGAGAGCGACCUCGCUGACAGCAACCUCGCAGAAAGUGAUCGAGGUAAGAACAGCUCUCAGGUAGGAGCCAGUGGGAGAGGGUUCCCGGGACACUUGGGUUAGGCCUGCUGCUUGGAGGGUGGGGCGGGUGAGUGUGCAAUUGCAAAAGAGAAAGAAAUUGGUGUAAAGAUGUUCGUCGCCUAUGUUCCUAAGGAGGGGGAGCAGGUAUGAGAUGCCCGAAUGUUGGCAUCUGUGCUCACGUUGUGUUGGCGGGCCUCAGUCCUGGAGCAGAGGGAGGCCUGGGCACCUGGAGGAAAACCCGGGUGAUGCUGUGUGACCCGCCGUCACCUCGGGGAAAGCCGGGGAAACGGGAGGGCCACUCCUUCUCACGCCUCGCUUCCCCGCGGUGUGUUUCUACAGACUCGGUGGCGGAGCGCACCGACUGCCGCCAGGAUGAGGAGGCUGCAGACUCCACUGGGACACCUUAAAGCCUCAGCCUGGGACUGGAAGAGUCCAAACGUUUCCAUCUUGACCAGGAAACAAGAUCGACCUCACUCUUCAUCUAUUACGAGCCAACUUUAGUAUAAGUUUGGUUCUUUAUUGUCUAGAUUUAGUAUUAAAUUCUCAUACAUGUUUACUACUUGGUAUGCAAAAUUUGUGUAUUAAAUAAUCCUUAUCUAUCUAUUUGCUUUUAAACUAGUUUUCGGUAAAAUAAACACAUGUAUAGGAGAGCCCCUUAAGCA
rnacentral:lncRNA from 1 species